rnacentral:rRNA from 1 species
CAAAAUGUCACGGAUGUGUCUUUUUUUUGUAGUGUAGCGAACAAGUACCGUGAGGGAAAGAUGAAAAGGACUUUGAAAAGAGAGUCAAAGAGUGCUUGAAAUUUCCGGGAGGGAAGCGGAUGGGGGCCGGCGAUGCGCCCCGGCCGUAUGCGCGCGGAACGGCUCUUGCUGGUCCGCCGCUCGACUCGGGGUGUGGACUGUUGUCGGCCGCGCCGACGGCCAAAGCCCGGGGGCCCUAGGUGCCCCCGAUGGCCGUCGUCGGCACGGCCGGUACCCGCGCGCCGAAAGGCGUGUCCCUCGGGGCACUGCGCUGCAAUGGCCUGCGGGCUCCCCAUCCGACCCGUCUUGAAACACGGACCAAGGAGUCUGACAUGCGUGCGAGUCGAUGGGUUCUAGAACCUGGGAUGCGCAAGGAAGCUGACGAGCGGGAGGCCCUCACGAGCCACACCGCUGGCCGACCCUGAUCUUUCGUGAAGGGUUUGAGUUGGAGCACGCCUGUCGGGACCCGAAAGAUGGUGAACUAUGCCUCAGCGGGGCGAAGCCAGAGGAAAAUCUGGUGGAGGCUCGAAGCGAUACUCACGUGCAAAUCGUUCGUUACUUGGGUAUAGGGGCGAAAGACUAAUCGAACCAUCUAGUAGCUGGUUCCCUCCGAAGUUUCCCUCAGGAUAGCUGGAGCCCAUUAUGAGUUCGAUCAGGUAAAUCCAAUGAUUAGAGGCAUUGGGGACGCAACGUCCUCGACCUAUUCUCAAACUUUAAAUAGAUAGGAUGGCGCGGCUGCUUCGGUGAGCCGUGCCAUGGAAUCGGGUGCUCCAAGUGGGCCAUUUUUGGUAAGCGGAACUGGCGAUGCGGGAUGAACCGGAAGCCGGGAUACGGUGCCCAACUGCGCGCUAACCUAGAACCCACAAAGGGUGUUGGUCGAUUAAGACAGCAGGACGGUGGUCAUGGAAGUCGAAAUCCGCUAAGGAGUGUGUAACAACUCACCUGCUGAAUCAACUAGCGCAAAAAAUGGAUGGCGCUGAAGAGCGCGACCCACACCCGGCCAUCUGGGCGAGCGCCAUGCCCCGAUGAGUAGGAGGGCGCGGCGGCCGCUGCAAAACCCGGGGCGUGAGCCCGGGCGGAGCGGCCAUCGGUGAAGAUCUUGGUAGUAGUAGAAAAUAUUCAAAUGAGAACUUUGAAGGCCGAAGAGGAGAAAGGUUCCAUGUGAACGGCACUUGCACAUGGGUAAGCCGAUCCUAAUGGACGGGGUAACCCUGGCAGAUAGCGCGAUCACGCGCAUCCCCUGAAAGGGAAUCGGGUUAAGACUUCCCGAGCCGGGAUGUGGUGGUUGACGGCGACGUUAGGAAGUCCGGAGAUGCCGGCGGGGGCCUUGGGAAGAGUUAUCUUUUCUGCUUAACGCCCUGCCAACCCUGGAAACGGUUCAGCCGAAGGUAGGGUCCCAUGGCCGGAAGAGCACCGCACAUCGCGCGGUGUCCGGGGCACCCCCGGCGGCCCAUGAAAAUCCGGAGGACCGAGUACCGUUCACGCCUGGUCGUACUCAUAACCGCAUCAGGUCUCCAAGGUGAAUAGCCUCUGGCUAAUGGAACAAUAUUGUAGGCAAGGGAAUUCGGCAAAACGGAUCCGUAACUUAGGGAAAAGGAUUUGCUCUGAGGACUGGGCUCGGGGGUCCCGGCCCCGAACCCGUCGGCUGUCGGCGGAUUGCUUGAGCUGCUCACGUGGCAAGAGCGGGUCGCCGCAUGCCGGCCGGGGUCGGACCGGGAAUCGCCCCUUCGGGGGCUUUCCCCGAGCAUGAAACAGUCGACUCAGAACUGGUAUGGAGAAGGGGAAUCCGACUGUUUAAUUAAAACAAAGCAUUGCGAUGGUCCUCGCGGAUGCUGACGCAAUGUAACUUCUUCCCAGUGCUCUGAAUGUCAAAGUGAAGAAAUUCAACCAAGCGCGGGUAAACGGUGGGAGUAACUAUGACUAUCUUAAGGUAGCCAAAUGCCUCGUCAUCUAAUUAGUGACGCGCAUGAAUAGAUUAACGAGAUUCCCACUGUCCCUAGCUACUAUACAGUGAAACCACGGCCAAGGGAACGGGCUUGGCGGAAUCAGCGGGGAAAGAAGACCUUGUUGAGCUUGACUCUAGUCCGACUUUGUGAAAUGACUUGGUGGUGUAGGAUAAGUGGGAGCCCUCACGGGCGCAAGUGCAAUACCACUACUUUUAACGUUAUUUUACUUAUUCCGUGGGUCGGAAGCGGGGCAUGUCCCCUCCUUUUGGCUCCAAGGCCCGGUCUUACCCGGCCGAUCCGGGCGGAAGACAUUGUCAUGUGGGGAUUUUGGCUGGGGCGGCACAUCUGUUAAAAGAUAACGCAGGUGUCCUAAGAUGAGCUCGACGAGAACAGAAAUCUCGUGUGGAACAAAAGGGUAAAAGCGUGGCCUAUCGAUCCUUUAGAUCUUCGGAGUUUGAAGCUAGAGGUGUCAGGAAAGUUACCAUAGGGAUAACUGGCUUGUGGCAGCCAAGCAUUCAUAGCGACGUUACUUUUUGAUCCUUCGAUGUCGGCUCUUCCUAUCAUUGCGAAGCAGAAUUCACCAUGUGUUGGAUUGUUCACCCACCAAUAAGGAACGUGAGCUGGGUUUGGACCGUCGUGAGACAGGUUAGCUUUACCCUACUGAUGACAGUGUCGCGAUAGUAAUUCAACCUAGUACAAGUGGAACCGUUGAUUCACACAAUUGGUCAUCGCGCUUGGUUAAAAAGCCAGUGGCGCGAAGCUACCAUGUGCCGGAUUAUGACUGAACGCCACUAAGUCAGAAUCCAAGCUAGCAUGCGACGCCUGCGCCCGCCGCCCGCCCCGACCCACGUUAGGGGCACUUGCGCCCCCAAGGACCCAUGCCAUUGGCUAAGCCGGUCCGGCCGACGUGCCGCGGCCGGCCGCCUCGAAGCUCCCUUCCCAAAGGGCGGUGGGAUGAAUCCUUUGCAGACGACUUAAAUAUGCGAAGGGGCAUUGUAAGUGGCAGAGUGGCCUUGCUGCCACGAUCCACUGAGAUCCAACCCCAUGUUGCGCGGAUUCGUCCCUCCCCCACAAC